rnacentral:rRNA from 1 species
UACGUAGGGGGCGAGCGUUGUCCGGAUUCAUUGGGCGUAAAGAGCUCGUAGGCGGUUUGGCAAGUCGGGUGUGAAAUCUCUGGGCUCAACUCAGAGAGGCCACUCGAUACUGCUAUGACUAGAGUCCGGUAGGGGACCAUGGAAUUCCUGGUGUAGCGGUGAAAUGCGCAGAUAUCAGGAGGAACACCGGUGGCGAAGGCGGCAUCCUGGCCCUGACCUGACGCUGAGGCGCGAGAGCGUGGGGAGCAAACGGG